rnacentral:rRNA from 1 species
CGUGAGCGGCGGACGGGUGAGUAACGCGUGGGUAACCGUGCCUCAUACAGGGGAGUAACAGUUGGAAACGGCUGCUAAUACCGCAUAAGCGCACAGUACCGCAUGGUACGGUGUGAAAAACUCCGGUGGUAUGAGAUGGACCCGCGUCUGAUUAGGUAGUUGGUGGGGUAACGGCCUACCAAGCCGACGAUCAGUAGCCGACCUGAGAGGGUGACCGGCCACAUUGGGACUGAGACACGGCCCAA